rnacentral:sRNA from 1 species
GCAAAGAAGAUCGAAGAAUGCUCGAAGC